UUUCUUUGAAUCAUUAUUCAUUUUUUAUUAAUUUUAUUUACUUAUUUGUUUUUUUUACAAGUUGGCCUUUGAAUAAGUUCAGCUAUGCAACAAAAAAGACAAGACUCAUUAUCCUUUGAAUUCUGACUUGCUUAUAUCGUGACAAGUGUUUUAUAGAGUGAACCCAGGAUAAAACCUAGCAGUAAAAUAACAACCAAAAGGUAUGUAUACAUAUUUGAAAAGUUUUUAAGGCCUUUGCUGUUUCAAUUUGCCAUUCUAGCUUUGUCUUUGACAACUCCCAUGAUGUAACUAACCAUUUUUCUACAGAGUUCCGCUUCUGUAAAUAUAUCAUGCAGUUUCACAUUUCUGCAACUUUGUACCUGCUCUUCUCUCUGCCGGAAAUGCUCUUGACACACUUCCUGGCACAUGGUACGCUCCAACAAAGUGAGUUACACCUCUUCACUUCCUUUCCUGCCUGUGUUCUCUACACCCAAUGUGGAGCUCAAACUUGG
rnacentral:lncRNA from 1 species